UACGGGGGGAGCAAGCGUUGUUCGGAUUUACUGGGCGUAAAGGGCGCGUAGGCGGCGCAACAAGUCACUUGUGAAAUCUCCGGGCUUAACUCGGAGCGGCCAAGUGAUACUGUCGUGCUAGAGUGCGGAAGGGGCUACUGGAAUUCUCGGUGUAGCGGUGAAAUGCGUAGAUAUCGAGAGGAACACCUGCGGCGAAGGCGGGUAGCUGGGCCGACACUGACGCUGAGGCGCGAAAGCGUGGGGAGCAAACGGG
rnacentral:rRNA from 1 species